UACCUCAAUACUCUUUAAACCCUUUAUUACUAUUAAGUAGCUCUAUAAAUAUAUAGAAGCUUUCAUGCUAAAACUAGUAACAAGAAAUUGCUUUUCUCCAAAAUUUAAAUAUAAACCAAAAUGGACUCACCAUUGGUAAUUAACGCUUAUAAAACCACUAUAACAACAUAACUGGAAAACACUAUACUUUUUUACGUUAACCUUACACAAGUAAAUUUCUGGAAAGAUUAAAAGAAAGAGAAGGAACUCGGCAAAUUUUAACCCCGCCUGUUUACCAAAAACAUCGCCUCUUGAUAAAACAUAAGAGGUCUAGCCUGCCCAGUGACAUUAUUAAACGGCCGCGGUACCCUGACCGUGCAAAGGUAGCAUAAUCAUUUGUUCUUUAAAUAAGGACUCGUAUCAACGGCAUCACGAGGGUUAUACUGUCUCCUCUUUUCAAUCAGUGAAACUGACCCCCCCGUGAAGAGGCGGGGAUAAAAACACAAGACGAGAAGACCCCAUGGAGCUUUAAACCCAAUAACAACUCUUUUUAAAUAAACUUAAAAAUAUAGAUGCCCUGUUUAUUGGUUUUGGGUUGGGGUGACCACGGAGUAAAAAUUAACCUCCAUGACGAAUAGAUUUAUCUUUAUCCAAGAGCCACUGCUCGAAGAAUCAAAAAUUUGACGUUAUAUGAUCCGGCAACCGAUCAACGAACCAAGUUACCCUGGGGAUAACAGCGCAAUCCAUUU
rnacentral:rRNA from 1 species